rnacentral:rRNA from 1 species
UACGAAGGGGGCUAGCGUUGUUCGGAAUCAUUGGGCGUAAAGCGCGCGUAGGCGGUUGCUUAUGUCGGAUGUGAAAGCCCUCGGCUUAACUGAGGAAGUGCAUCCGAAACUGGGCAGCUAGAGUACGAAAGAGGGUCGCGGAAUUCCCGGUGUAGAGGUGAAAUUCGUAGAUAUCGGGAGGAACACCGGUGGCGAAGGCGGCGACCUGGGUCGAGACUGACGCUGAGGCGCGAAAGCGUGGGGAGCAAACAGG